AUCGCCUCGACGGCCACCUUCUUGGACGCCGGCGUGCAUUGUACAUGGCGGCGGCGAGCUCGAUCCGAUAUCCGCAGCGCGGCCGUCGGCGCGAGGGGAUCCGGAGAAAGUCGACGGAGGCGAGCGCGGGAAGUAUGGUGGCGGGGCUACCGGAGGUCGCCGGCGGGCAGCGGCAGCGCUAUCGACGCUGGCGGCGGCCAUGUCCGCCGGCACAGAUUAUUUGCAAAGAGACCCCUAAUAUAACCGCGAUCCAAAUACCUGCAAAUAACCCCCUGUAUUUUACAAAUAGACCCCUAAUUUGGAUCGCAAUGAAUAGUCGCGAUCCGAAUAUGUACAUUUAGCCCCCUGGAUUGGAUCGCGAUUAAUAAUCGCGAUCCGAUUUUUUGCAUAAAUGCCCCUGGUUCGGAUAGGCUUCUCCCCCCGGCCGUCCGCCGCCCGCCGUCGCCGUGCUCCCCGUCCUCCACGCCGACGGAAGGGCAACGCUGCAUCGUCUCCCGCAGCUGCGCGCCGUUCGCAGCUUGGCCUUGCUCUCCCCUCGCACCGGCGGGCCGCGACAGCGCAGGCGAUGACGCUGGCACUGUCGGCGGUCUCUGCGGCCAGUCAUCAUUCCGGGCGCCGCGACGCGUUUCGUCGCCGGCUUGUGCGGUCGGCGCAGCGCCCCGUUCCUUUUCCGGCGGCUGACCCUGCGCUAAGGACUUUUGCGGUCACAAAAAGAUGCCGCAGCGCUGAAUCUUCAGCUUUGCAACUAGCAGGUGAGCAAUGAAUGCCUAAGAUCACUCUCCACUCUUGAGAAGUUAAGAUUACAUAGCAAUGGUUGGCAGCUUGCUUAUAGACGAUGAUGGCCUACAGAUGCUAAACGCAGGCAACCUGCUGCAGGUACACCUUCCAAGGAUGGAGAUUUUGUGCAGAUUCACUUUGUAUGAUAUGUUGCUAGGUUUUCUUUGAUACUUUUGUGCUUAUUCCAUUUUCAACCUCAUCAUCUGUUCCAGAGUGACUUCUCAGGGCUUAGUUUCACUCAUUGACAGUCAAAGGUUUAUCUGAAAAAUAAAUGCUGGACACAGUUUGCAUGUGAGUAGAGUUCCUUUGAGAUCCUGGGUGACAGCUGAUUGGCCUAAGCGCGUCUAUGGAUCAGGCAAUUGCAUGCUUGGAGUGCCGGACAUGAUCGAUCCAUCGAUGUGCCCCCAACCUCAUGGAUGGGUGUCGAUCGCACGACGAGAUUGUCAUUGCAUAUGCGUCAACCAAGGAGAAGUAGCUAAAAAAAGGGAACACGCUUGGAACGAGGGAAUCACUAACCGCUAAUGAAAUGAGCACGGCGCCUACAAAAGGCCAUGACAUUGAAGCAUCUACCCAAGCAACAAUCACACAGCAUUAAGCUACACACAGAACAAGUUAACGAAGCAGCUAGAGCCUAGCGUAUCCAUGGCACCCAAGUCGGCGGCGGCUCUGGUCCUGCUGGCGCCGCCGCUGCAAGCCCAGGAGCUCUUGUACUUGAUGGUCGACCGUGUAUGCCCCGGCGACCGUACGAUGCGACGGUGCACGCGUGGCAUCGUUGCGCACGCGACCGUCGAUCCGUAUUGCUGCAGAGCUCUUCGGAAGGCUGUUACCUCCGGCAAGGGCACCCAAAUUGCCAAUGCUGGUUUGAAGCACCUAAGUGCUUUGGAAGAACUCACACACCUUGAGAUGAGGUGCCUGUUACGCAUCACAGGCAUCAUCAGGAUCACGUCCAUCGCAUUUGGUUGCACCAGCCUGAUUGAACUGGACCUGAAGUGCUGAUGUUCCUGUCAAUGAUGCAGGGCUCUGGGCACUUUCUAGAUACUCCUAAAAUCUCAGACAAGUAAAACCUUCUUUUGGCAUUUGUGGACCAAUCAGCAACUUAACAUGUUGUUUUAUCGUUUUGUUUGCAGCUUACCAUAUCGUACUGACAAUCAUCCUUCAGGCUUGGGAUCAGAGGAAGAAGAUGACCAUGUAGCAAGUAACAACACUUUCAGAAUUUUUUUUGACGUUAUCAUGUACUGUCCAUGCUGACAAAAUCUCUGUAACUGGCAUUUCUGGCAAUGCAAAGUGCCAACUUUCAGAGUUUCGACGUUAUGAAUUAUGAUGAGUUGAUGGCUGUCCAUGUUGAAAGUUUUCUCUGUAGUUGGCAUUUCUGGCUCAAACUUGGAUUCAGAGUUUUCUCUGUCGUCCGGUGGCUGGGCCUGUCGGCGCCGUGCGUGAUUUCAUUUCUGUUUCCCUCUCCGGGAUGAACCGGUCCAUGCGCGGGGAGGACGACGAGGCGCCGGUCAUGGACGCUGGGCUGCUCGGGUGGCAGUGUCGGAGGGGCUCGUGUCCAUCCGGCGGCCAGCGGCGGCGAGCUCGAUCCGGUAUCCGUAAUGUGGCUUGAGCAGAGGCGGCGUCGGCGCGAGGGGCCCAUCCGGAGAAAAUCGAUGGAGGGGAGCGCGAGAAGCACCAUGGAGGUAUUUCCAGAGGUCGCCGGCAAGCGGCGGCAGCACGAUCGACGCCGGCGGCGGCCAUGUCUGCCGGCACAGAUAUUUUGCAAAGAGCCACCUGGAUUUGAUCGCGGUUAUUAAUCGCGAUCCGAUUAUUUUCAAAUAGACCCCGGUAUUUUACAAAGUGCCCCCUGAUUAUUUGCAUAAAUACCCCUGGUUCGGAUCGGCUUCUCUUCCCGGCCGGCCGCCGCCGUGCUUUCCGCCGGAAGGGUCGAAGACUCGAAGGGAAGCGCCGCAUCCUACCCACCAAUCUUCCGCUAGCACCCAUCCGCCCCCACAGCCGCGCUCCGUUCGCCGCGUCCGCGGGGGUUGGGCAUGGCACUGGCGGCGGUCGCUGGGGACGUAGCACAUGGGUACGUGCUGAUCACCCUUCCCCGGCUGCCGGGAUGCAUUGCGUCGCCGGCGUGUGUAGUCGGCGCUCCGUUCACCGUCCGGUGGCUGAUCCUGUGCGGAGGAGGAUCACAAGAUGCUCUUCAGCUUUUGCAAAUAGCAGUAACGCACAUCAGGGACAUAAUAAAAGCAUUCCCAAGUUCAGGAAAACUUUUUUUGCUGACUCAUUUCCAAAAGGUUGCCCAAGCAUUCAGACAAGUCUGCAUUUCGUUCUCAACCACCAGCUGAUGGCUCUCAUGGGCAUCGCGUAGAUUUCGUUCACUGGAACUGGGAUCAUGGAUUUGGGUCAAAUAUUCCCCAAAUCCAUAUCCCUAUGAAGGGUAUGCUCAAUUUUCCAGAUCCCAAGUUUUCUGGUUCAAAUUCUCACUCCCAAUUGGAACGUCUAGGUCGUAAUGCUGUUGUUGGUGUUCAUCAGAACCGAUCUACUAAUCCCGCACUCCUGCUUAUUCUGAUGGGAGUAGUAAAAUGCCUAAACUGAUCCCUCAAUUUUAUGGUGAAAAUCCUAGGUUGUGCACGACUGCAUCUGUAGGUCAGAGGACUACUUUGAGUUUUACAAUGUUGAGUCUAGUAUGUGGAUUGAAGUAGCUUUGAUGCACUUUUCUGCUCUAACUGCCUGUUGGUUGCAGUCGGUGGAAAAGCACAUCAAAACUUUUUCCUGGUCUGAUUUUUGCAGGU